rnacentral:rRNA from 1 species
AGAGCGAACGCUGGCGGCAGGCUUAACACAUGCAAGUCGAGCGGGCGUAGCAAUACGUCAGCGGCAGACGGGUGAGUAACGCGUGGGAACGUACCUUUGGUUCGGAACAACCCAGGGAAACUUGGGCUAAUACCGGAUAAGCCCUUACGGGGAAAGAUUUAUCGCCGAAAGAUCGGCCCGCGUCUGAUUAGCUAGUUGGUGAGGUAAUGGCUCACCAAGGCGACGAUCAGUAGCUGGUCUGAGAGGAUGAUCAGCCACAUUGGGACUGAGACACGGCCCAAACUCCUACGGGAGGCAGCAGUGGGGAAUAUUGGACAAUGGGCGCAAGCCUGAUCCAGCCAUGCCGCGUGAGUGAUGAAGGCCCUAGGGUUGUAAAGCUCUUUGUGCGGGAAGAUAAUGACGGUACCGCAAGAAUAAGCCCGGCUAACUUCGUGCCAGCAGCCGAC